GUGCUCACUUCAGGAGCACAUAUACCAAAAUUGGAAUGAUACAGAGAACAUCAACAUGGCCCCAUGCACAAGGAUGACACACAAAUUUGUAAAGUGUUCCAUGUUUUU